UACGAAGGGGGCUAGCGUUGUUCGGAAUUACUGGGCGUAAAGCGCACGUAGGCGGACUUGUAAGUCAGUGGUGAAAGCCCGAUGCUUAACAUCGGAACUGCCAUUGAUACUGCAAGUCUUGAAUAUGUUUGAAGUGGGCGGAAUGUGUCGUGUAGCGGUGAAAUGCUUAGAUAUGACACAGAACACCGAUUGCGAAGGCAGCUCACUAAACCAUUAUUGACGCUGAGGCACGAAAGCGUGGGGAGCAAAACAGG
rnacentral:rRNA from 1 species